CUCUCAGGACGAACGCUGGGCGGCGUGCCUAAUACAUGCAAGUCGAGCGGAACCUUUGGAGCUUGCUCCAUUGGUUUAGCGGCGGACGGGUGAGUAACACGUGGGCAACCUGCCCUGCAGAUCGGGAUAACUCCGGGAAACCGGUGCUAAUACCGAAUAGUUUGCGGCCUCUCAUGAGGCUGCACGGAAAGACGGUUUCGGCUGUCACUGCAGGAUGGGCCCGCGGCGCAUUAGCUAGUUGGUGAGGUAACGGCUCACCAAGGCCACGAUGCGUAGCCGACCUGAGAGGGUGAUCGGCCACACUGGGACUGAGACACGGCCCAGACUCCUACGGGAGGCAGCAGUAGGGAAUCUUCCGCAAUGGACGAAAGUCUGACGGAGCAACGCCGCGUGAGUGAAGAAGGUUUUCGGAUCGUAAAACUCUGUUGUGAGGGAAGAACAAGUACCAACUAACUACUGUACCUUGACGGACCUCAC
rnacentral:rRNA from 1 species